AGAGGUAUAUAUUAACAUAGAGUGAGCCUUCACUCCGCCACCACUGACGACAAGAUCUCUUGGACUGGUUUGCGGUAUCUCUUUCUAGCACAAUGUAUCGAGAAACAUAACAUGAAACUAAGUGGGGGUACGGGACGGCAAGUGAAAUAAGGAGAAUUACCUUCUUCUUUAUUUAUUAUGACAAGUGACAAGACAACAUAACCCAAAUGCAAAUAAUUUAAUCCAGCCCUAUUUCUAUUUUUGAACAAAAUGCUGGAAAUUGGAAAUAUCUUAGUUUAUUUUUAGUUCUAGCUUAUUUACGGCUAGAUUGAAAAUCAGAAUUUUCUAAUAUUGGUUCAUGAUUAUCAUCAGGGACUUGAUUCGGUUCUUAAACAGAAUCAAUGGCUCUCUGAAAAUAUGAUACUCCAUUGGUCACCCCAAGAGGAAUACAACAAAAUUGGUAAAGGCAUCCACUUUCCUCAAAAGCUGUAAAUGGUUUGUCAAAUUCAUGAAUUGGUAUUUGAUGAUACGCGUUUUUUAAAUCAACUACCAUCUGACGUUUAUGAUUUUCGUUUUUGAAAAAAAUGAUGUAUCACAGACUUAAAAUGCGUUUAUCUCAAACACAGUUAAAUUUAGCGAGAUGAAUGUAGUAUACUUUUUUAAAUAAAAAUAUUAACAUAAUAAAAAUUUUGAUUCAAAAAAUUGAACGUAUUAAAUGAGUGCUGAAAGAUGUAUAUAGCUCCGUUUGGAAAAUAUAUCAUUUUUGGUGGCGAAUUUAGCUUUCUCGUCCCAAAAAACCCCCGCUUACCAAAUUUAGUGUUAUUAUCCCAUGCCUGUUAGGAAAUAUUCAAGAAUAAAUAAAAUAAAAGUUUAACUUUGACACCCUGUAUCUCGGUUAUUAUCAACUUUCGUACUAAGGUAAGUUAGCUUAAAUCAAACUAUUUUAACCCCAGGAAUCUAAGGUUAAGCUAUCGCCCAUUCUUUACCAAACACCCUGUAUAUCGUACUAGUGACGUCAUCCAUUUGGAUGUGAUGAUGUAAUCUACUAUUUUUUUAAAUGGGAAUAGGGGUCGAGUGCUAGCUCAUUUAAAAGGUUAUUCAAUUCCAUAUUCAGUAAUAUAAACAUUAACAUGAUUAAUUAUACAGAGUGUCCAAAGAAUUUUUUUAAAUUAAAUUAAUUGACACAAAAAGAAGAAUGAGCUAGCACACGAUCGCUAUUCUCAUUUAAAAAAAUAGUCGAUUACGUCAUCACGCCCAGAUGGAUGACAUCACUAGUAUGUUGUAUACAGUAGAACCCCGAAAAUCCGAACCAAUUGGGGGGACAGCCUGUUCGGAUUCUGAAAAGUUCGGAUUAUCUGAAAGUCAGCCUAACUAGUAAUUCAAAGCUCUCCUGCAAAACGUGUAACCUGACUAUGAGAAAACCGAAGUAAAUUUAUGUUUAACCUUUAUAAGAGAUGUUCAGCAGACAUCAAGAAAUCAUUACUUUUCUAUUCACCCAUUAUUACCCAAAUGUAUACCUCAUUUUAACUACAAUUAUAACAAAGUACAUUCCUCAUUAAUAACCCGGCUAAAACUUACCCAUGGACUUUUUCCAGAGCAUCUACAUAGGAUUGGAAUCUAUGAAACUCCCUUCUGUUCCUGUAACCAUGAGUCCAUCGGGGAUCUGAACAUGUAUUCUUUGAUUGUCUUAAUCAUAGGGAUCAGACUCAAAACUUAUAUUUAGGUUUAAUUAACCUUAACAUUAGCCUUCCAAUUAGCAUCAGCAAUGUUUUAUCUUAUUCUGACAAAUCUAUAUUUAAUAUCUUAAUCAAGUUUAUAAAUGAUUCUAAGAUAAAAAUUUAAACAUAUCUAUAACAAAAUUCUGUGGCAAAAAGACUCUUUGUCUAAUGCCAUCUCUUUGGCGCGCGCGCGCUCCCACACACACACACACACACACACACACACACACACACACACACAAACACAAACACAAACACAAACACACACACACACACACACACACACACACAAACACACACACACACACACACACACACACACACACACACACACACAAACACAAACACAAACACACACACAAACACACACACACACACACACACACACACAACCUUUAUAAUCAUUACAUAUAAAGUACCUACGUAUUUAUUUUUAAGAAAUUUUAAAUGUCAAAGUCCUACUAAUCCAAUAUUGUUCAAUUUUCUGGUUAUACUCUAUAUAAUAAACAUGUAUUUAAGUUUUUGUCUUAAAUUUUAAAAAAAAAUUUCACUUUCCGUUAGUUUGGAUUUGCGGGGUUCUACUGUAUGUCAAAAAUAUAUAUGGGGGGGGGGGGUCAAAAUAUAGUGAAUAACCCUGUACAUCAAGAAAUUUACUACCAACGUCUCUGCUACUGAAUAUAUCACUAAGUACAGGGCAACCUAUUUAAAACUUAAAGAAUCAGCUAAAAAAUUAUACUAUCAAAAUCAUCUGAGAAGCUUUAAAAGUGUUGCAAAAGAAAUUUGGUCCAUAAUAAACAAUCUUUGAAAUCAAACUCACACAGCUCAAACAUUUUCCCUUCCAGACCAUGAAUACUUUAUUAAUGUGAGUAAAAUUAUAACAUCAACUAUUUUGUCACAAGAGAUCAAUUUUGUUAAGAUCCGAUUUCCUAUCUCCCUAAUUCAAGAAAGGUCUCAAAUUCAUUAUUUAUAAGACUAGUUGAUUAAUCUGAACUGAUCCAAACAAUCAAUAGUAUCAAAAGCAAAUCUUCCUGUAGUACUGAUGGACUAUCCAUAAAAAUUGUCAUAAAAAUCUCCCAGAAAAUGUGUUGGGAGUCCUCAUCCCACUAACGACUCUUUUAAGGGGCUAUCCUAGUGUAAAAGAACGAAAUUCACAUACUUUUUUUGGGAAUAUCUAAAAUAAAAAGUACUGUACCAAUUGUUUUGAAAAUUUGCAUGACCAUUUAUUAUAAAAAGAAGUACAAGUAAAACAAUUUUCAUAAAAAAAAAUAAUGAAAAUUUAACGAUUUAUGCCCUAUCUACUGGCACAGUGAAAAUAAAAAACAUGGCUCCACUGCUGCAGUGAUUGGGACUAAUAGAGAUCCUGAAUUAUAAAAUUGCAAAGUGAUUAUUGAAAUAUAAGUUAUUUCCUAUGUCCUAUACCAUCAAUUAGGAUUUUUGGAAAAAUGACAGUGUUGAAAUUUUUUUUAAAUUAGCUAGAACAUUUUCAGUUUCAAAAACCGCCAAAUUGACAUUUUUUAUCCGAUUAAAAAAUCCCUAUUUGAUGGUAUAGAAAAUAACCUAUAUUUCAAUAAUAACUUUGAUAUUUUAUGUUUCAGGAUCUCUUUUAGUCCCAAUCACUGCAGCAGUGGAGCUAUGUUUUUAUUUUCACUGUGCCAGUAGAUGGCGAAUAAAUCGUUUAAUUUUCAAUAUUUUUUUAUGAAAAUUGUUUCACAUGUACUUCUUUUUAUAACAAAUGUUCAUGCAAAUUUUCAAAAUAAUUGGUACAGUAUUUUUUAUUUUAGAAAUUCCCAAAAAAGUAUAUGAAUUUCAUACUUUUACACUAGGAUAGCCCCUUAAGAAAGGUAAAUUUCUAGAGCUGCCUAAAGACAGCCAUCAUUAUUCCUCUUCAUAAGGGUGGUGAAAAAUCUAAUGCCUGCAAUUAUAGACCUAUUGCAUUACCACUGGUACUCUCAAAUAGGACUCAUAAUACACAAGUAUAAAAACUUGUUGCUGGUAUGAGCACAUUGUGUAAAUGUUAGGAUUUAAAGAGGAUAUAAAAACCUUCAAUACGAUUAUGAGUGUUAGUCUCUUUAUAUCCUAACAUUUUUUUGUUAUUGUUUUAGUUUAUUAUUGUUUUUUAUGACUCUUUGUAAGUUUUGUGUAUAAAUUGUACAAUUUUCCAUGACAAUAAAGCAUUUUUCUAUUUUAA
rnacentral:lncRNA from 1 species